rnacentral:rRNA from 1 species
UGAAUACGAGACGCUAAGGCGUUGAAGUAGUGUAUGUCAUACUUCCAAGAAAAGCUUGCACUGUCAUAGAUAAAAAACGCCUGUACCAUAACCGACACAGGUGGGUAGGUAGAGUAUACUAAGGGGCGCGAGAUAACUCUCUCUAAGGAACUCGGCAAAAUAACUCCGUAACUUCGGGAGAAGGAGUGCCUUAUUUAUAAGGCUGCAAUAACAAGAUCCAAGCAACUGUUUAUCAAAAACACAGGUCUCCGCUAAGUCGUAAGACGAUGUAUGGGGGCUGACGCCUGCCCAGUGCCAGAAGGUUAAAGAAGUUGGUUAGCAAUAGCGAAGCUGAUAACUGAAGCCCUGGUGAACGGCGGCCGUAACGAUAACGGUCCUAAGGUAGCGAAAUUCCUUGUCGGGUAAGUUCCGACCCGCACGAAAGGCGUAAUGAUUUGGAUACUGUCUCGGAGAGGGGCUCGGUGAAAUAGACUUGUCUGUGAAGAUGCGGACUACCUGCACCAGGACAGAAAGACCCUAUGAAGCUUUACUGUAACUUGAAAUUGAAAUUGGACUUUAUUCGCGCAGUAUAGGUGGGAGGCGUUGAUUGUAAUCUUGCGGGAUUAUUGGAGCCAUCAGUGAGAUACCACCCUUGUAAUGUUAGAUUUCUAACUUUGAAUCAUUAUCUGGUCAAAGAACAGUUUCAGGCGGGCAGUUUGACUGGGGCGGUCGCCUCCUAAACGGUAACGGAGGCGUACAAAGGUUUCCUCUGAACGGUUAGAAAUCGUAUCUAGAGUGUAAAGGCAUAAGGAAGCUUGACUGUGAGACCUACAAGUCGAGCAGGGACGAAAGUCGGUCUUAGUGAUCUGACGGUACUGAGUGGAAAGGCCGUCACUCAACGGAUAAAAGUUACUCUAGGAUAACAGGCUGAUCUCCCCCAAGAGUUCACAUCGACGGGGAGGUUUGGCACCUCGAUGUCGGCUCAUCGCAUCCUGGGGCGGUAGUACGUCCCAAGGGUUGGGCUGUUCGCCCAUGAAAGCGGUACGCGAGCUGGGUUCAGAACGUCGUGAGACAGUUCGGUCCAUAUCCGGUGUAGGCGUUAGAAUAUUGAGAGGAGCCUUCUUUAGUACGAGAGGACCGAGAAGGACAUACCUCUGGUGUACCAGUUAUCGUGCCAACGGUAAACGCUGGGUAGCUAUGUAUGGAGUGGAUAACCGCUGAAAGCAUCUAAGUGGGAAGCCCACCUCAAGAUAAGUAUUCUCAC